AUAUAUGCGACCCACGACGGCCGCCAGACACAACAUCUGGUGGUUGGGGCAGGGAAUCCGGUGCGAAGCGGUUGCUUCAAUUCCGGAGCUGUACCCGCAACUGUCAGCGGCGAGCGAGACGGCAAGCAGCAGGGCCACGGGGCGAUCGGAUCGCUCGGGAAGGCCGCCGGGUCGCGCGAUCAGCCGCAAGCCAGGACACCUGCCGUGGGCAAAUUCCGAGA
rnacentral:ncRNA from 1 species